rnacentral:lncRNA from 1 species
CUUCUUGCCUCUACGGCUCCGCCAUGAUGGAAAACUUGCUCUCGGCAUAAAGCACGCGGCGCUACCAGAGUUCGUAUCCGCCCGAAUGGGUUUUCGGUCGCAAGGUGCGCAUCAAAGUGUUUAUAUUAGAGUGGCGCUAUAAUAUCCGCAAUCUUUCCGUCUGCUUUUGCUUUUGUCAGAUCUUGUGUGCUUCAUGAGUCUGUCCUAAGAUUAGGAAGUUUUCAGUGGAAAGAGGCGGGGUUUGUGCUUCUUUUAUGAGCUAUGCUAUAACUUGAGAGUUAGUCAUGCCGACAUGGCAUGGAUAAAUUGACGCAAUUUAAGAUGUUAGUCUGAAUGACAGGGGAUUGGUCUGAAUCAUAAUAGGCCAUAUUAAUUCCAAGAUAAGAAGCACUGAGCACAGGAAGAAAAAAAAUAGGCGGGCUAGAACUUAAAAUUAUUUAUUUUAGAAUUUCUUUUUAAUCUAUAUAUGUUGCCGCUGAGGACCGGCCUAUUCCAAACGUUGA